rnacentral:rRNA from 1 species
UACGUAGGGUGCAAGCGUUAAUCGGAAUUACUGGGCGUAAAGCGUGCGCAGGCGGUUGUGCAAGACAGAUGUGAAAUCCCCGGGCUUAACCUGGGAACUGCAUUUGUGACUGCACGGCUAGAGUGCGGCAGAGGGGGAUGGAAUUCCGCGUGUAGCAGUGAAAUGCGUAGAUAUGCGGAGGAACACCGAUGGCGAAGGCAAUCCCCCGGGCCUGCACUGACGCUCAUGCACGAAAGCGUGGGGAGCAAACAGG